rnacentral:rRNA from 1 species
CGUAGGUAACCUGCCUGGUAGCGGGGGAUAACUAUUGGAAACGAUAGCUAAUACCGCAUAAAAUUGAUUAUUGCAUGAUAAUUAAUUGAAAGAUGCAAUUGCAUCACUACCAGAUGGACCUGCGCUGUAUUAGCUAGUUGGUGAGGUAACGGCUCACCAAGGCGACGAUACAUAGCCGACCUGAGAGGGUGAUCGGCCACACUGGGACUGAGACACGGCCCAG